rnacentral:rRNA from 1 species
UAGGGAAUAUUAGUAAUGGGCGAAAGCCUGAACUAGCAACGCCGCGUGUGCGAAGAAGGCCUUCGGGUUGUAAAGCACUUUUUGAGAGGAUGAGGAAGGACGGUACUCUCAGAAUAAGUCUCGGCUAACUACGUGCCAGCAGCCGCGGUAACACGUAGGAGGCGAACGUUAUCCGGAUUUACUGGGCGUAAAGCGCGUGUAGGUGGUUUGGUAAGUAGGGCGUGAAAGCUCCUGGCUCAACUGGGAGAGGCCGUUCUAACUGCCGAACUAGAGGAUGGUAGAGGGGGGGAGCAGUCCGGGGGGAGCGGUGGAAUGCGCAGAUAUCCGGAGGAACGCCAGUGGGGAAAGGGGCCGCCGGGACCAUUCCUGACACUCAGACGCGAAAGCUAGGGU